UACGGGGGAUGCAAACGUUAUCCGGAAUUAUUGGGCGUAAAGCGCCUGUAGGUGGUUUAGUAAGUUUGUUGUUAAAGGUUAGGGCUUAACCCUAAAAAAGCAAUGAAAACUACUAGACUAGAGUAUGGUAGGGGUAGAGGGAAUUUCUAGUGUAGUGGUGAAAUGCGUAGAUAUUAGAAAGAACACCGGUGGCGAAAGCGCUCUACUGGGCCAUUACUGACACUCAGAGGCGAAAGCUAGGGGAGCAAAAGGGAUUAGAUACCCCUGUAGUCCUAGCCGUAAACGAUGGAUACUAGAUGUUGUGCGAAAUGUACAGUAUCGUAGCUAACGCGUUAAGUAUCCCGCCUGGGAGUACGCUCGCAAGAGUG
rnacentral:rRNA from 1 species